UGCCAGGAUGAAAAGAGCUAAGAAUUUAGUCAGUGCUGGGUUUUGUUGACUGAAAAAAGCUCUUCCUAUAUUCACUGUGUUGCUUGUUUAGGCUCUUCACAGAGCUAGCCAGUGAGACUGUGGUGUGCUCCUACAUUUGAAAAAAAUGCUUCCAAAUUGCUACUUUCCUAGAAACGUCUCAAUUUGCUACUAAUCCUAGACAUGCCUGUGGGAAUGCUAGAAUGCCUUCCUUGAUUGCAAUAUCCACAGACUUUUUCUUAAAUGUUAGUGAAUAUACACUGAUUUAUUCAUUCUUUGAAAAUACUCUGAAUAAUGGGCUGAAAAGAUAACUGGAUAAGCAUGGAAAACACCAUAAUUAAGGGAAAGAGUAAGAGCUACAAAGUUAAACUUCCUUGGGUUCUUGACAUCUCAAGAUUGUAACCAGUAGUUAUUGAUGGGUUCUUAACUUGGGGUCCUUGGAGUCAUGGAGGAUCAGUGGACGCCCUUCAAUGUGGUCCACAAAUUUCCUGAUAUUGUAUGGAAACAUUUGUAAGUAUGGGUUCAUAACUCUCAUCUGAUUUCUAAUGGGAUCCCUUGAAAAUCAAGAAUCACUUCCAUAAAUUCCCUGAAAGUGAUUUCAUGAAGGUAGAAAGGAUAGUAGCAUUUAUGACAGUAUUCAUGGAUAAUCACUAUGGUGUGAAUAUUUAUCCCCUCCAAAACUCAUGUUGAACUUUGAUCCCUGAUGUGGCAAUAUUGAGAAGUAGGGUCAUUAAAAGGUGAUUGGAUCAUGAAAACUCUGCCCUUGUGAAUGGAUUAAUCCAUUCGUAGAUUAAUGAAUUAGUGGGUUAAUGGGUUAUCACGGGAGUGGGACUGGUGGCUUUAUAAGAAGAGGAAUAGAGACUGGAGCUAGCCUUCUCAGCCCUCCCUGUCAUGUGAUGCCCUGUGCCACCCUGGGACUCUGCAGAGAGUCCCCACCAGCAAGAAGGCUCUCACCAGAUAUGGCCCCUCAACCUUGGAGUUCUUAGCCUUCAUAACUGUAAGAAAUAAGUUAUUUUUCUUUAUAAAUUACCCAGUUUCAGUUAUUCUGUUAUAAGCCACAUAAAACGGACUAUGACCAUGACUUUAUGUAAUUGCCAUAGAAUAUGAGGCAGUGCAACAGAGCAAUAGGGCCUAGGAGUCAGCAGACCUGAUCUCUAGCUCUGGUUUCCUAGUUACCAGCCAUGUGACCUUGCAUAAGUGUCGGUCCCAUUUCAGCCUCAGUUUGCCUACCUUUUAAAUGGAGGAAACCAUACUUCAUGUGGCCUUAUUUUAAAUGAUCAGAUGUGUGUGAAAAUGCUAUUGAAACUUCAAGGCGUUAUCUAAAAGCAAGAGAUGUUUACUCUCAUACCUGUAGUUGGUGUAUGUUCUUGGUCACUAGAGGGAGCCUUAGCAUUCAGGGGAAGAAUAAGCUAGUGAUACUUAUUCUUGAAAGCUUGAGGCCUCUAUGAGAAGUAAUUCUUUAAAAAACUUGCGCUUUAUAAAUAUCCACUUCGAUUUUUUAGAAAAUUCAGAGAAAGGUCUAUAAAAGCAAAUAUGACCACAGUUCCUUGUGACAUAGAUUUUCCCACCCAUUAACCCACAGGAUUCUUCCUUUUAACUUUCUCUAUGAUAAAUUUAGCUUGUUGAAAAUCCUAAUAUUUAUGUAGAAUUAAUUUAACAGCAAGAAAAAGAAAGUAGAAAACACAAUUUUCCAGAAGGCCAUAGGAAGAAAGUACUUUUCCAUUAGCAAAAACAAUCCAUUGUAAAUUCCAUGGCACAUGGUAAUGCUGUUAGAGGAUUUUUGUAUCCAGGCAGGACAGGGGAAGUACAUUGUCUAACUUUGGCUUUCGAUGUCCUAUUGGGACCUUCUGAAGUUCUUAACUGGUGUGUUUUCCUCCUGCUAGUGCUAGAGUGGGAGGAAUCUUACUCAUUUGAAAAGAGCUUGACUGUUACAUCAGAGGACCCCAGGAUGGUCUGAAGGAGGAGAGGCUGUUUCUUCUUAAAGCUUUCAAGUGGUGUAUAAGUCCCUUUAUGCUGCUAUAAAGGAAUACCCAAGACUGGGUAACUUACAAAGAAAAGAGAUUUAUUUGGCUCAUUGUUCUGCUGGCUAUACAUGAAGCAUAAUGCCAGCAUUUGCUCUGGUGAGGGCCUCAAGAAGCUUAUAAUCAUGGAAGAAGGAGAUGGAGAGCCAGCAUGUCACAUGGAAGCGUGAGAGGAAGCAAGAGAGAGGGGGGAGGAGGUGCUAGGUUGUUUUAAACAACCAGUUCUCUUGUGAACUCAGAGAAAACUCACUCAUUACUGUGAGGACAGCAGCGGCAAGUCAUUCAUGAGGCAUCCACCCCCAUGACUCAAACACCUCCCACUAGGCCCACCUCCAACACCGGAGGCCACAUUUCAACAUGUGAUUUGGAGGGGACAAGCAUCCAAUCCAUAUCAGGUGGGGAAGGUCAGGAGGUGGACAACAGAAUCAUUGUUGCCCAGUUUAGGACUUCUCAAAUUUUAGUGUACAUGGAAAUCACUGGAGUUCUCAUUAAAAUGCAAAUUCUGAUUCCA
rnacentral:lncRNA from 1 species